ensembl:snoRNA
UCUGGUGAUGAUGACACACUUGCCCUCACUGAGAACGCUGUUCAAUAAUGAGAACCUCACCAUGUACUCAGAGGAGCUGAGCCAGA